rnacentral:rRNA from 1 species
GAUGAACGCUGGCGGCGUGCCUAAUACAUGCAAGUCGAGCGAACAGACGAGGAGCUUGCUCCUCUGACGUUAGCGGCGGACGGGUGAGUAACACGUGGAUAACCUACCUAUCAGACUGGGAUAACUUCGGGAAACCGGAGCUAAUACCGGAUAAUAUAUUGAACCGCAUGGUUCAAUAGUGAAAGACGGUUUUGCUGUCACUUAUAGAUGGAUCCGCGCCGCAUUAGCUAGUUGGUAAGGUAACGGCUUACCAAGGCAACGAUGCGUAGCCGACCUGAGAGAGUGAUCGGCCACACUGGAACUGGGACACGGUCCAGACUCCUACGGGAGGCAGCAGUAGGGAAUCUUCCGCAAUGGGCGAAAGCCUGACGGAGCAACGCCGCGUGAGUGAUGAAGGUCUUCGGAUCGUAAAACUCUGUUAUUAGGGAAGAACAAAUGUGUAAGUAACUAUGCACGUCUUGACGGUACCUAAUCAGAAAGCCACGGCUAACUACGUG